rnacentral:rRNA from 1 species
CUGACUGACCGAUAGUGAACCAGUACCGUGAGGGAAAGGCGAAAAGAACCCCGGCGAGGGGAGUGAAAAAGAACCUGAAACCGUGUACGUACAAGCAGUGGGAGCCUCUUUUAUGGGGUGACUGCGUACCUUUUGUAUAAUGGGUCAGCGACUUAUAUUCUGUAGCAAGGUUAACCGAAUAGGGGAGCCGAAGGGAAACCGAGUCUUAACUGGGCGUUAAGUUGCAGGGUAUAGACCCGAAACCCGGUGAUCUAGCCAUGGGCAGGUUGAAGGUUGGGUAACACUAACUGGAGGACCGAACCGACUAAUGUUGAAAAAUUAGCGGAUGACUUGUGGCUGGGGGUGAAAGGCCAAUCAAACCGGGAGAUAGCUGGUUCUCCCCGAAAGCUAUUUAGGUAGCGCCUCGUGAAUUCAUCUCCGGGGGUAGAGCACUGUUUCGGCAAGGGGGUCAUCCCGACUUACCAACCCGAUGCAAACUGCGAAUACCGGAGAAUGUUAUCACGGGAGACACACGGCGGGUGCUAACGUCCGUCGUGAAGAGGGAAACAACCCAGACCGCCAGCUAAGGUCCCAAAGUCAUGGUUAAGUGGGAAACGAUGUGGGAAGGCCCAGACAGCCAGGAUGUUGGCUUAGAAGCAGCCAUCAUUUAAAGAAAGCGUAAUAGCUCACUGGUCGAGUCGGCCUGCGCGGAAGAUGUAACGGGGCUAAACCAUGCACCGAAGCUGCGGCAGCGACGCUUAUGCGUUGUUGGGUAGGGGAGCGUUCUGUAAGCCUGCGAAGGUGUGCUGUGAGGCAUGCUGGAGGUAUCAGAAGUGCGAAUGCUGACAUAAGUAACGAUAAAGCGGGUGAAAAGCCCGCUCGCCGGAAGACCAAGGGUUCCUGUCCAACGUUAAUCGGGGCAGGGUGAGUCGACCCCUAAGGCGAGGCCGAAAGGCGUAGUCGAUGGGAAACAGGUUAAUAUUCCUGUACUUGGUGUUACUGCGAAGGGGGGACGGAGAAGGCUAUGUUGGCCGGGCGACGGUUGUCCCGGUUUAAGCGUGUAGGCUGGUUUUCCAGGCAAAUCCGGAAAAUCAAGGCUGAGGCGUGAUGACGAGGCACUACGGUGCUGAAGCAACAAAUGCCCUGCUUCCAGGAAAAGCCUCUAAGCAUCAGGUAACAUCAAAUCGUACCCCAAACCGACACAGGUGGUCAGGUAGAGAAUACCAAGGCGCUUGAGAGAACUCGGGUGAAGGAACUAGGCAAAAUGGUGCCGUAACUUCGGGAGAAGGCACGCUGAUAUGUAGGUGAAGCGACUUGCUCGUGGAGCUGAAAUCAGUCGAAGAUACCAGCUGGCUGCAACUGUUUAUUAAAAACACAGCACUGUGCAAACACGAAAGUGGACGUAUACGGUGUGACGCCUGCCCGGUGCCGGAAGGUUAAUUGAUGGGGUUAGCGGUAACGCGAAGCUCUUGAUCGAAGCCCCGGUAAACGGCGGCCGUAACUAUAACGGUCCUAAGGUAGCGAAAUUCCUUGUCGGGUAAGUUCCGACCUGCACGAAUGGCGUAAUGAUGGCCAGGCUGUCUCCACCCGAGACUCAGUGAAAUUGAACUCGCUGUGAAGAUGCAGUGUACCCGCGGCAAGACGGAAAGACCCCGUGAACCUUUACUAUAGCUUGACACUGAACAUUGAGCCUUGAUGUGUAGGAUAGGUGGGAGGCUUUGAAGUGUGG